rnacentral:other from 1 species
UUGUUCCUGCCGUGUUCGUGAUUGACAGGAUUCUUCUCUGAAAAAGCACUCCGUGCACGCGAACCCGAGUUUGCUUUGGCAGGCAGGUUCUGUUUUCGACAGAAAAGUCUAAAGAAGCAAUAAGGUUGAUCACUAAAAAACAGUUCUUGAGAGUAUCCCAACACGGCACAUAGGCGGGGACAAU